rnacentral:lncRNA from 1 species
GCAUCAAGCAUGUUGAUUGAUUCUGAAGCAUGAGUAAACUGUAGUAAGCUGUGUGUACAGAUUCCUGAUUAUUCUGUAUGAUCCUCUAUUUUUUUCCUUUAUGAUCCUCUUUAUUGUGGUGCGACACCAAGCUUGGGUUAUUUACUUGCUUCCACUGUGAUUUCUAGGGAGGGCACUUUAUUGAUUUCUCAAACCUUGGAUCUAGACAUGUAAAUAGUUAAAUGAUUAUUUUGCUUUUCGAUUAAAUAUGAUACUAACUAAACCUGUCUAUCUUAUACAAGCUGCAAUCUGUUCUGAAAAUUCUGUUUAUAAGGUACCAUCAGCUAUGACCCUAAUGGACCCCGAAUAAAAAGGAGAAAACAUUUGACACUUAUCAUGGCCAACCAUGAAACCGUGUUUCAGAAACUGCAUCAUAGCACAUAUUUCAACAAUCGUUUCCUGGUUUGUAAUAUGUACUAGCCUUCUGAAAAAGACUGAGGCUGCACUUGUUCCUGUCAGGUACUUGUAGCAAAUAUUUACUUACUUUUGUUCUUUCAAUCAUAUAAUAAAAGUUUCAUGUCUCUUUUUAAAAUUUCAGGUUGUCAUGUUACAAAAAGGCCUAUCUACAAAUAGGUGGACAAGAUAAAACAUUAAAAAUAGACUAGAGCACUUUCCAUCUCCAUUGAUA